rnacentral:lncRNA from 1 species
CUUCACCUGUCUUUUCCCUGUUCCAUGGGAUGACACAGCAAAAAGACCCCUGCCAGAUGUUAGCCCCUUGAUUUUGGACCUCUCAGCCUUCAGAACUCCGCUGACAUUAGCUUCUCAUCACCCCGGGGUCCUGAAAUCUAGAACUGGCUUCAGAAGCAGGGAUGAUGGAGUCUUGCUCUGUCGCCAGGCUGGAGUGCAAUGGUGCAAUCUUGGCUCACUGCAACCUCCGCCUCCCCAGUUCAAGCAAUUCUUCUGCCUCAGCCUCCCGAGUAGCUGAGACUACAGUGGACCAGAGGAGAAGAUAUGGAUGAACUCCUUGGACCCACCCUGUUCCCAGCUCAUCUGGGAGAAUGAAGCUAAUUGGUAAAUCCACUGUUUGAUGCUUGUAAUGAAGACUCAAGGAGUUCUGUCUCUACCAAGUUCCUUGCCCUUAAUGACUCAAGAAUUAAUUUUAUCUUUUCCUCUCAAAACCUUGAAAGAAAUGCUUGAGUCCUUGUAACCUGUAAAAUAAAUGUUGUUACUGAAGGGA